rnacentral:lncRNA from 1 species
UUGCCAGUGUUUCAAUAGCUAAGGCAUAUAAAUUCAUAGAGAGCGGACAGCCUUGUCUAACUGAUCUUGUAAUUAAAAUUUCUUCUGUUAACUGACCAUUGACUUGUAUUUUACUUUUUAUAUCUUUAUAUAGUAUCUUAAUCCAUCUUACGAAUUCUACUGGUAGGUUCAUUUUCUUUAAAACUUUAAUAAGAAAUUCAUGUUUAAUCUUGUCGAAAGCUUUUUCUUGGUCAAAAUUUAUUACGGUUACGGUUAUAUGUUUUUGGUGGACGACUUACCAAUUGGUAAUUGCGCCCUGGUAACUAAAUUUGGAAUUAGUCCAUUAUAGUAAUAUUUUACUUUAGAGAUAAUUCCAUUUAAUUAAAAAUUAAAGAAAAUAAAUAUAAAUUCUAGGCGACCCUUUUUGUUUACAGGUGGUGCGCCUUAUUAACCUGUACUAGUUUAAACUUAUUUUAUUAAAUUUAAAUAGAAAUAAAACUUAUAAAACAAAUGAAUGUUUUUUUUUUUUUUUAAACUUUUAUAAGGGGUUAAGAAAUUUGGUUUUUGAGACUUCGGGUUUUGCCCUAUACUUUUCCAUCUAUUUUUUAACUAGAAGAAAAAUGCUGUAUGUUUUUUGUUUUUGUUUUUGUUUUUUGUUGGUUUUUUUUGUUGUUUUUUUUUCUCCAUCUGUGGUUGUUAGUGUUAUUGUUAUAAAUAACGUUUUGUGUCACUUAAUUAUGUUUGUUUUAAUUAUGAUAGUCAGUUGCUUUGUCGUAUUUCUUGAAUACUAUAAGUAGACUAUGUUUGAUCAGUUGCCCCA